rnacentral:rRNA from 1 species
UACGUAGGGUGCGAGCGUUGUCCGAAUUUACUGGGCGUAAAGCGCGCGUAGGCGGCUCUUUAAGUCCGGGGUGAAAGGUCCAGCGCUCAACGCGGACAGUGCCCUGGAGACUGGGGGGCUUGAGUGUGGCAGGGGGGACCGGAAUUCCUGGUGUAGCGGUGAAAUGCGUAGAUAUCAGGAGGAACACCGGUGGCGAAGGCGGGUCCCUGGGCUAACACUGACGCUGAGGCGCGAAAGCGCGGGGAGCGAACGGG